UUAAUUGAAGAGUUUGAUCAUGGCUCAGAUUGAACGCUGGCGGCAGGCCUAACACAUGCAAGUCGGGCGGUAACAGGGAGAAGCUUGCUUCUCUGCUGACGAGCGGCGGACGGGUGAGUAAUGUAUGGGGAUCUGCCUGAUGGCGGGGGAUAACUACUGGAAACGGUAGCUAAUACCGCAUAAUGUCU
rnacentral:rRNA from 1 species